CCUACGGGGCGCAGCAGUGGGGAAUAUUGGGCAAUGGGCGCAAGCCUGACCCAGCAACGCCGCGUGAAGGAAGAAGGCUUUCGGGUUGUAAACUUCUUUUCUGAGGGACGAAGAAAGUGACGGUACCUCAGGAAUAAGCCACGGCUAACUACGUGCCAGCAGCCGCGGUAAUACGUAGGUGGCAAGCGUUCUACGGAUUUAUGGGGUGUAAAGGGCGUGUAGGAGGGAAAGCAAGUCAGAUGUGAAAACUCAGGGCUCAACCCUGAGCCUGCAGUUGAAACUGUUUUUCUUGAGUGCUGGAGAGGCAAGCGGAAUUCCGUGUGUAGCGGUGAAAUGCGUAGAUAUACGGAGGAACACCAGUGGCGAAGGCGGAUUGCUGGACAGUAACUGACGCUGAGGCGCGAAAGCGUGGGGAGCAAACAGGAUUAGAUACCCCAGUAGUC
rnacentral:rRNA from 1 species